CUAAAAGGGUCUCGUUGAAAACGUUUGAAAGCAAGUAUUUAGCUGGGUAAAGUCGUGCAUAAAAGUUGGUUUUGUUAUAAUGCAGAGGAUUCGUUUCCCGGAAUUACAUCUGUAGACAUUAAUUGCUUACUAGACUAGUCCGAAAUGAUUCAGAGGCCCGUAAUCAGAUCGCUACGGUGUUGGAAUAGUACCGAAAUGGCACGCUAACAGUUAGUGAUAUUAGUGAAUCAGCAGGAACUAGGCACAUUGUUCUCUGUUUCAAUAAUGAAAACGGAUAGCAUUAUUAAUGGUGAAACUAGCCAGUUUCCCGAGCCAACGUGCCAACGUAGAAUAGAAAUCCAACUCCUGGAAGGCUUAUGAAGCAUCUCCUGCUAUAUAGUAAAAACUUUGACCAAAACGAGUUUUAAUACUGCACAUGGAUACCAGAAUGAAAAAUUAAAUUAACUAUUAGAAGCACUUAUGGAACCUCAAAGCACGCUAUUCCAUACGAAGGACUGCUGUAUUAUUAUUGAUAUCAUAAAUGUGGAAGACUGGAUGAUGGAGUGGAUUGCCAACCUGAAUCCUUAAGGUCUGCAGCAAAUAUGGCACUUCUCAAUUUAAAACAAACAAAUCAUCACGUGGGUUAAAGUUGGUACAUCGAAAUUGAUUAUUACAUGGAAGUAUCCUAAUGCUGGAAGGCGACUCUUAUAACCCCGGAAUGCGCACAAGUGCCUCUGCUUGUGGGUCCGCACAAUCCCUUUUGGCCCUUCUGUAACAGCAUUAGUGUGAAAUUCAUUUGAUAAUCAAAUUUGGAUCUCCUGUAAUUCUACCCACAUACAUUGGCAAGUCCUUGAAAUGAUGAUGGCUUUCCCCUACUACUACUACUACUACUACUACUACUACUACUACUACUACUACUUAUCAAGCCGGCUUCGUCGAAGGUCGGUCUACAGUGGAUCAAAUAUUUACACUGCGGCAAAUCCUCCAAAAGGGCCGUGAAUACAGAGUUCCCACGCAUCAUUUAUUCGUUGACUUCAAAACCGCAUAUGAUACCAUCGACCGGAAAGAGCUAUGGAAAAUCAUGGACGAGAACAGCUUCCCCAGGAAGCUCAUCAAACUGAUUAAAUCUACGAUAGAUGGUACACAGUGCUGUGUUCGGAUUUCGGGUGGAUUGUCAAGUUCAUUCGAAUCACACAGAGGGCUUCGUCAAGGUGAUGGUGUUUCAUGCCUGCUGUUCAACAUAGCGCUAUAAGGUGUUAUCAACCGAGCGGACAUCAACAUGCGGGGCACGAUAUUCAACAAAUCUAGUCAAUUCGUCUGCUUUGCCGAUGACAUGGAUAUUAUCGGCAGAACAUCUGUGGCGGUGGCUGAACAGUACACCAGACUAAAGCGUGAAGCAGAAAAGAUUGGGUUAAAGGUAAAUACGUCUAAAACAAAGUACAUGCUGGCCAGCGGAACCGAGGCCGAACGACACCGCUUGGACAGUAGUAUACUGAUCGACGGCGAUGAGUUUGAGGUUGUCGAUGAAUUUGUCUACCUUGGCUCACUGGUAACGGCGGACAGUGAUACCAGCCGUGAGAUUCGGAGGCGUCUUAUCAGCGGAAGUCGUGCUUACUAUGGGCUUCACAAGCAAUUGCGGUCGAGCAGACUAAGUCCCCGUACAAAGUGCACCCUGUACAAGACGCUUAUUAGACCGGUUGUUCUCUACGGGCAUGAAACAUGG